UACGGGGGGGGCAAGCGUUGUUCGGAAUUACUGGGCGUAAAGGGCUCGUAGGCGGCCAACUAAGUCAGACGUGAAAUCCCUCGGCUUAACCGGGGAACUGCGUCUGAUACUGGAUGGCUUGAAUCCGGGAGAGGGAUGCGGAAUUCCAGGUGUAGCGGUGAAAUGCGCAGAUAUCGGGAGGAACACCUAUGGCGAAGGCAGCUCGCUGGGACGUUACUGACGCUGAGACGCGAAAGCGUGGGGAGCAAACAGG
rnacentral:rRNA from 1 species